AACGAACGCUGGCGGCAUGCCUAACACAUGCAAGUCGAACGAUACCUUCGGGUCUAGUGGCGCACGGGUGCGUAACGCGUGGGAACCUGCCCUUAGGUUCGGAAUAACUCCCCGAAAGGGGUGCUAAUACCGGAUAAUGUCGUCGGACCAAAGAUUUAUCGCCUUUGGAUGGGCCCGCGUUGGAUUAGCUAGUUGGUAGGGUAAAAGCCUACCAAGGCGACGAUCCAUAGCUGGUCUGAGAGGAUGAUCAGCCACCCUGGGACUGAGACACGGCCCAGACUCCUACGGGAGGCAGCAGUGGGGAAUAUUGGACAAUGGGCGAAAGCCUGAUCCAGCAAUGCCGCGUGAGUGAUGAAGGCCUUAGGGUUGUAAAGCUCUUUUACACGGGAUGAUAAUGACAGUACCGGGAGAAUAAGCUCCGGCUAACUCCGUG
rnacentral:rRNA from 1 species